rnacentral:antisense_RNA from 1 species
AAGCAAAAGAAAGGCAUAAAGUCUAACGAGUAUAGCUUCUGAGCUGGGGAAGCAGAAGCAUGGGCAAUGAGAUUGGGGCCACACACAUGGUUGAAAAGAUUUGAGUUAAGAUUCCGUUAAAAAUUGAAAGCGAAUCAAAAGAAAAACCUUGCAACCUUGGAGGCCCUCUAGUGCCCAAAUCAGAGUGUAUGGAAGAAUCCAGCCCACCGAUCCUUCCUCAGGACGAAGCACAGCACGACAGCUUUCAAGUUCCUACGUGUAAAAGUGAUUCCUCUCGGCUGGGCGCGGUGGUUCACGCCUGUAAUCCCCGCACUUUGGGAAGCCGAGGCGGGCGGAUCACAAGAUCAGGAAAUCGAGACCAUCCUGGCUAACACGGUGAAACCUCCCUCUCUACUAAAAAUACAAAAAAUUAGCCGGGCGUGAUGGCAGGCGCCUGUAGUCCCAGCUACUCGGGAGGAUGAGGCAGGACAAUGGCGUGAAUCCAGGAGGCGGAGUUUGCAGUAAGCCGAGAUUGCACCACCGCACUCCAGCCUGGGCGACUGAGCGAGACUCCAUCUCAAAAAAAAAAAAAAAAAAAAAAAAAAGUGAUUCCUCUCUGUUAGUGAUCUGCCGUGUCUCAGAUACUUUACAAACAUUAUUGAUCCCCCCACGAUCACCUCACUUGGUGGCAUUUUUUUUCUCACAAGUUUCAGAUGAAGAAACUGAAGUCACAGAGAUGAAGUGACUUGCUCAAGGGCCCCAAGUGAGUCAAUCCCCAAAAUCUCCUUUGUGA